AAUAUUUGUGAUCAGUCGCUUGAACAUGCAUAUAUAUUAAGUCGGUAAAAAAAAGCCCUAGCCCACAGCAUCAAAGUUGAAGGAGCAGUCAUUCGUUGAAGGAGCAGUCAUUCUCGGUUACUCCACUUGUUAUCAAGCUCCGAUUUAGAGUUGCAACUAGUAAAAUUGGGUGGCUGCUUUGCUCACUACUGACUCGAUGGAUGCAGUCUAUGAUUCCGAGCGUAUUCAACUUACUCAGUUGUGUGAAAAACUAAAACCUAUUAUUUGGGUCAUUGAAAUAACUGGCAAAACUAAGGGGCAGAUGACGAAAACAGGUGCUACAGGAUUUUCCGUGCACAAUGAUGGUUUGGUAAUGACCUGUGCACACAUAUUCAAGGGAGUGAACUUAACUGAAAUUAAUGUUCGUAGACUUGAUGAAGAAAAUUUUAAAACUGCUAAACUGAAGGAUAUGCGAUUAAAGUGGGAUUUAGCACUCUUGAAGUUUGAUGAGGUGAUUGAUUGUAGCUGAUGGGUCGAUUUGGGAAGGUCAACCCCUGUUGCAUAUUGGGAAUCCGUUCAACUUUUUAGGAUCUUAUUUGAUUGGGCGUGCAUGUUUUCCAUGCGUGGCAGAUGUGAGCCCUCCGAGAGGUAAUGAAACUUGUGGCAGAUUUGACUCAACAGCCAUGAUAAAGACACCAAGAUACCGAGUGAUGGGACACGUGUGGAAUAGCGAAUAUUUUUCAAGCCAUCAGCAUUCCAGUUUUCCCUUUGAAAAAUCUCUUACCCCUUCGGUUCCCAUUAUCCAAUGCAAUGGAAUCAAUGCCAGACCAGGUUGUUCUGGAGGUCCUGUAUUUAAUAUGGAGGGAAAGAUUGUAGGGAUGCUGAUUGCAGGAGGGAAUGACUUUGACAUAGUCACUCAUGUGUCAGCUCUGAGGAUGUAUUUGGCAAACCGUUGCCAAUCCGAGGACACUUCAAAGAAGCAAAGGACUUGUUGAAAGGACUUCAUUUAGGACAAGACUGAUCGUACUAUCUUAUUUGUUUCUGAGAACCUUUUUAUGUUUAAUCAAAUGACAACAGUUGUAUUAUGUUUAGAAUCCUUUAUUGAUACAAUUGUCUAUCUUAUGUCUUUAGUGUUCAAAAUCCUUGUAUGAUA